AAUCCGCUGGAGACUCGAGCAAGCAGCCGCGUGGACGCCAGCCAACUCUCGGACGUUGCUGCUCCUUCCUUCGUGCCUUCAGCUUGCCUCUGUCUCAACUGCGAAGAACUGAAGUCACACGUCCACGCGUCUCCGCAGAAGCUCCCAACUCCCAUCUCCACGGUUUUUUUUUCCUGCAGUCGAAACCACCGAUCCUCCUGCGAAGCAGCUGCCAGCAUCCUCGCCCUUGGUCAACACCACAGCAACUUCUCCAAUGCUAGCCUUUGAUUGUUGACUCCUCACGUGGGCUCAUCUCCACGAAGCAGCGGCCACUCG
rnacentral:lncRNA from 1 species